GACGUAGGGCGCGAGCGUUGUCCGGAUUUAUUGGGCGUAAAGAGCUCGUAGGCGGCUUGUCGCGUCGGCUGUGAAAUCCCGUGGCUCAACUGCGGGUCUGCAGCCGAUACGGGCUAGCUAGAGUUCGGUAGGGGAGACUGGAAUUCCUGGUGUAGCGGUGAAAUGCGCAGAUAUCAGGAGGAACACCGGUGGCGAAGGCGGGUCUCUGGGCCGAUACUGACGCUGAGGAGCGAAAGCGUGGGGAGCAAACAGG
rnacentral:rRNA from 1 species